CAGCCGCCGCGGUAAUACGAAGGUCCCGAGCGUUGUUCGGAAUCACUGGGCGUAAAGGGAGCGUAGGCGGCGUGGUAAGUCAGAUGUGAAAUCCCGGGGCUCAACCCCGGAACUGCAUCCGAUACUGCCGUGCUAGAGGAUUGGAGAGGUAGCUGGAAUUCUUGGUGUAGCAGUGAAAUGCGUGGAGAUCAAGAGGAACACUCGUGGCGAAAGCGAGCUACUGGACAAUAUCUGACGCUGAGGCUCGAAGGCCAGGGUAGCGAAAGGGAUUAGAUACCCGGGUAGUCCCUGUCUCUUAUAC
rnacentral:rRNA from 1 species